GACGAACGCUGGCGGCGUGCCUAAUACAUGCAAGUCGAGCGGACAGAUGGGAGCUUGCCCCCUGAAGUCAGCGGCGGACGGGUGAGUAACACGUGGGCAACCUGCCUGUAAGACUGGGAUAACUUCGGGAAACCGGAGCUAAUACCGGAUACGUUCUUUCCUCGCAUGAGGAAAGAUGGAAAGAUGGUUUCGGCUAACACUUACAGAUGGGCCUGCGCGCCAUUAGCUAGUUGGACGGGUAAUGGCCCUCCAAGGCAAAGAUGGCUAGCAGGUCUGAGAGGAUGGACAGACACACUGGGACGGAGACACGGCCAAGACUCCUACGGGAAGCAGCAGUGGGGAAUAUUGCGCAAUGGGCGACAGCCGGACGCAGCGACGCCGCGUGGGUGAUGAAGGCCUUCGGGUCGUAAAGCCCUGUCGGGAGGGAAGAAACCUCGGUGACCCAAUACGUCAUCGACCUGACGGUACCUCCUAAGGAGGCACCGGCUAACUCCGUGCCAGCCGCCGCAGUAACAC
rnacentral:rRNA from 1 species